GAUGAAGAACGUAGCGAAAUGCGAUAAGUAAUGUGAAUUGCAGAAUUCAGCGAAUCAUCGAAUCUUUGAACGCACAUUGCGCCCGCCAGUAUUCUGGCGGGCAUGCCUGUUCGAGCGUCAUUACAACCCUCAGGCCCCCGGGCCUGGCGUUGGGGAUCGGCGGAGCCCCCCGUGGGCACACGCCGUCCCCCAAAUGCAGUGGCGGUCCCGCCGCAGCUUCCAUCGCGUAGUAGCUAACACCUCGCGACUGGAGAGCGGCGCGGCCACGCCGUAAAACACCCAACUCUUCUGAAGUUGACCUCGAAUCAGGUAGGAAUACCCGCUGAACUUAAGCAUAUCAAUAACGGAGA
rnacentral:misc_RNA from 1 species